GUCAUCUACAAGUGGCCGCGUCGCAUAGAAAUAUUAGUUCCUGCAAAGAUUAUGGAAAAUCCUAAAAGUGCGGUAGCUAAAAUGGCAAGAAACAUUGAGUUUUGGCUUUUUUUGUAGAACUACCUGCAACUGGACACAAACAUUUCAGAUACAUUUCCACCGAAUCGAGAACCAAGACAGUAUCGCCAUGAGCAGUUGGACUUGUUGACUGAUGCCAAGGCGGUGGUUGCUAAGAAGAAAGGAGCAUCUGUGAAACACAAGAUUGCAGCCAAGGCAGCACUGGUUCACACCUGCCUUGUCUGUCGGAUGCAGACCCGAAGACAUUCAAGCAGCACUUUGAGAGCAAGCAUCCCAUGUCUCCAAUGGUCCCAGUACCGGUUGAUGCGCAGACAUAAGUGACCACACACACUCAAAUGGACCUAUAGCUGGAGUAGAUUCUUCCAUCAUUCACACAGAGUAGAUAUUGUGUAAAGCACCAUGUUGUCAACAAAAAGCAGUCCUCA